GGGGAAUAUUGCACAAUGGGCGAAAGCCUGAUGCAGCGACGCCGCGUGAGGGAUGACGGCCUUCGGGUUGUAAACCUCUUUCAGCAGGGAAGAAGCGAAAGUGACGGUACCUGCAGAAGAAGCACCGGCUAACUACGUGCCAGCAGCCGCGGUAAUACGUAGGGUGCGAGCGUUGUCCGGAAUUAUUGGGCGUAAAGAGCUUGUAGGCGGUUUGUCGCGUCUGCAGUGAAAAUCCGAGGCUCAACCUCGGACUUGCUGUGGGUACGGGCAGACUAGAGUAUGGUAGGGGAGACCGGAAUUCCUGGUGUAGCGGUGGAAUGCGCAGAUAUCAGGAGGAACACCGAUGGCGAAGGCAGGUCUCUGGGCCACUACUGACGCUGAGAAGCGAAAGCGUGGGGAGCGAAC
rnacentral:rRNA from 1 species